rnacentral:tRNA from 1 species
AAAUCUGGUCAAACCC